CUUCAGACCAGGUCAGACAAACAUUGCUGCCAGAGACUUCUUGUUACAGCACAGAUUGGACAGAAUACAACAGCAAGAGAUGAUUUUGUUAUCCAGUACUGGUGGAAGUAAAAUUGUCAGUCCGACUGUAGAACUCUAUCAGUAACCAUCAAAGUGUUAAAAUAAAGUGUUGUUGUCAUGCUGAA